rnacentral:rRNA from 1 species
AUUGAACGCUGGCGGCAGCCCUAACACAUGCAAGUCGAGCGGAGCGGCGGACGGGUGCGUAAUGCCUAGGAAUCUGCCUGGUCGUGGGGGAUAACGUCCGGACACGGGCGCUAAUACCGCAUACUAUCAGAUGAGCCUAGGUCGGUUUAGCUAGUGGGUGGGGUAAAGGCCUACCAAGGCGACGCUCCGUAACUGGUCUGAGAGGAUGAUCAGUCACACUGGAACUGAGACACGGUCGAGACGCCUACGGGAGGCCGCGGUGGGGAAUAUUGGACAAUGGGCGAAAGCCUGAUCCAGCCAUGCCGCGGGUGUGAAGAAGGUCUUCGGAUUUUAAAGCACUUGAAGUUGGGAGGCGUUACCAACAGAAUAAGCACCGGCUAACUUCGUGCCAGCAGCCGCGGUAAUAC